UUUAAAUUCUACACUGCACUCUUGAAUUUCAUCUCCUCAUGAAAGUAUUUUGAAACAUUCUCUUUCUUGGACAAUAGAUGAGGAUUUUUAUGCAUUCAUGCAUAUUAAGUAUAUGUAUGCAUGCAUGUAUAUUAUACAUAUGAGUACGUCAACAUAUAUGAACCUGAGACACUCAAGGUUGUGACAGAAAGCACUGCCAUUGAGCUAGGGCUUAAUGCCCCUGGCCUGACUUUGGUGUAGUAUUCCUGAAGAGUGGGUGCACACCUCCCUCCCUCCAUCCGCAAUUGGUGGGAGACAUGUACACUGGCUUUUGGUGCACAAUGUUUGAUGGCGAUCUUUUUCUGUAUAUGCAUGUAUGUCUGUCUGUGUGUGCGUGUGUAUGUAUUUCUGUUUGUAGUUUUAGGUGAAUGGAGGGUGACACAUUGUAUUUCUGAAUAUCCCCCUUUUCUCUACUCACUUUGAAAGAAUAUACCAUCCUUUUUAUGGUGUCCUGAGCUUCAAGUGAUUGAUCGCACUUCAUGGCACAGGACAUGGUGCUUUUGCAUCACGAAGUGGAAGUAGAAUUCCCAGAUGGGCGGCCAAUGGAGAAUCACUAUGCCACUCUCUUGGAGUUUGGAAGAACGAAAGAUAGGAAAACAACCAUUGCCAUGGGUCUCACAGUUGGCAUUCCAGCAGCCAUAGGAGCUUUGGGUGAGUUUCAAACUGGAAACUCAUACAAAUCUCUUUGAGAUUGCAAAGUGCAAGACAUCUGUGUCUGCAAUUGAGUAUCAUUUCAUUGUGGAAUGGGAGUGGGACUCAUGCAAAUGAAUAAGGAUGCUGGCACCAAACAUGUCAAUGUGGUAGGUACACUUGUGGGAUACUGAGCAAGAAAUCUGAUGGUUAAACCAAAAAUCAGGCCAGUCUACUUAUUAGAUUUGAAUACAGAAAGAUGAAGAAGACUCAUUCAUAGAGUUGAGCAUCAAACUGUGGGAACAAUAGGAAUCAGAAGUGGGCCCAUUAGGGCCUGUUUGGGACAUGGGAUUAGGUGGUAUGGAAUUGCACUUGUUCCGUGCAAAUUCCAUCUUGCAUUUGUAAAUGACCAAAGGAUUGGAUGAAUACAAGUAUCAUAUCAUCCAGUCCCAACAGUAGAAACUGCAGGAUUUCUGGUGCAAAUACACUACAACUUUUGCAAUUGGAAUCCAUUAUUCCAAUAGUCCUUGAGAACUCAACAAUCAAACUACCAUUUCACAAUUUGGGUUUUUGAUUUGUUGGGAUUGUGUAUUUGUUA